CAAGUCGAACGCGAAAGCCCCGCAAGGGGUAAGUAGAGUGGCAAACGGGUGAGUAACACGUGGGUGACCUGCCUUCGAGUGGGGGAUAACGUCCCGAAAGGGACGCUAAUACCGCAUGACAUCCUGCUCUUGGACGAGCGGAGAUCAAAGCUAGGGAUCGCAAGACCUGGCGCUUGAAGAGGGGCCCGCGUCUGAUUAGCUAGUUGGUGAGGUAACGGCUCACCAAGGCGACGAUCAGUAUCCGGCCUGAGAGGGCGGACGGACACACUGGGACUGAGACACGGCCCAGACUCCUACGGGAGGCAGCAGUGGGGAAUUGUUCGCAAUGGGCGCAAGCCUGACGACGCAACGCCGCGUGGAGGAUGAAGAUCUUCGGGUCGUAAACUCCUGUCGAGCGGGAAGAACGUUUCGUGGGUGAAUAGCCCGCGGAAGUGACGGUACCGCU
rnacentral:rRNA from 1 species